rnacentral:tRNA from 1 species
GGAGAGAUGGCUGAGUGGUUUAAGGCACACGCCUGGAAAGCGUGCGUGGCUAAACCCCACCGAGGGUUCGAAUCCCUCUCUCUCCGCCA